AAUAGAUACCCGGGUAGUCCACGCCGUAAACGAUGAGUGCUAAGUGUUAGAGGGUUUCCGCCCUUUAGUGCUGCAGCUAACGCAUUAAGCACUCCGCCUGAGGAGUACGGCCGCAAGGCUGAAACUCAAAGGAAUUGACGGGGGCCCGCACAAGCGGUGGAGCAUGUGGUUUAAUUCGAAGCAACGCGAAGAACCUUACCAGGUCUUGACAUCCUCUUGACCUCCCCAGAGAUAGGGAUUUCCCUUCGGGGACAGGAGUGACAGGUGGCGCAUGGUUGUCGUCAGCUCGUGUCGUGAGAUGUUGGGUUAAGUCCCGCAACGAGCGCAACCCUUGACCUUAGUUGCCAGCAUUUAGUUGGGCACUCUAAGGUGACUGCCGGUGACAAACCGGAGGAAGGUGGGGAUGACGUCAAAUCAUCAUGCCCCUUAUGACCUGGGCUACACACGUGCUACAAUGGAUGGUACAAAGGGCUGCAAGACCGCGAGGUUUAACCAAUCCCAUAAAACCAUUCUCAGUUCGGAUUGUAGG
rnacentral:rRNA from 1 species